CAAAUACCAAACAAAUAUAUUUCCCGCGUGCAAUCAAACAAGGCUUUCGUGGCGAAAUUCAAACUUAUCCACUGAGUAUAUUAAAUGAAGUAAUCUAGUUUAGUCUCUCCUUACACUGGAUCGGGCGUCGAUGAAGAACAGUCAGUUAAUCACUGACUGCAGUUGAAAUUCCAAAACCAAAUGAUAUCAUGAAUGUUGACAAUGAAGCUAGAAUUGAGUAUAUUUUGCAAGAAUAUCAGUGGAGGAAUAAGGACAAAUACGGUACAUGCAAGAUCUAAACUAAAC